CCUACGGGAGGCAGCAGUGGGGAAUAUUGCACAAUGGGGGAAACCCUGAUGCAGCGACGCCGCGUGAGUGAAGAAGUAAUUCGUUAUGUAAAGCUCUAUCAGCAGGGAAGAAAAUGACGUUACCUGAGUCAGAAGCCCCGGCUAACUACGUGCCAGCAGCCGCGGUAAUACGUAGGGGGCAAGCGUUAUCCGGAUUUACUGGGUGUAAAGGGAGCGUAGACGGCAGUGCAAGUCUGGAGUGAAAGGCGGGGGCUCAAGCCGCGGACUGCUCUGGAAACUGGACGGCUGGAGUGCAGGAGAGGUCAGUGGAAUUCCAAGUGUAGCGGUGAAAUGCGUAGAGAUUAGGAGGAACAGCAGUGGCGAAGGCGACUUACUGGACUGUAACUGACGUUGAGGCUCGAAAGCGUGGGGAGCAAACAGGAUUAGAUACCCUGGUAGUC
rnacentral:rRNA from 1 species